rnacentral:rRNA from 1 species
GCCUACGGGGGGCAGCAGUAGGGAAUUUUCGUCAAUGGGCGCAAGCCUGAACGAGCAAUGCCGCGUGAACGAGGAAGGUCUUCGGAUCGUAAAGUUCUGUUGAAGGGGAAAAAGAGCGGAGAGAGGAAAUGGUCUCCGAUUGAUAUUACCUUUCGAGGAAGCCACGGCUAACUACGUGCCAGCAGCCGCGGUAAUACGUAGGUGGCGAGCGUUAUCCGGAAUGAUUGGGCGUAAAGGGUGCGUAGGCGGCCUGCUAAGUCUGGAGUGAAAGGUACCGGCUCAACCGGAACAGGCUCUGGAAACUG